GACAGAGGGUGCAAACGUUGUUCGGAAUUACUGGGCGUAAAGGGCGCGUAGGCGGCCUGCUAAGUCGAACGUGAAAUCCCUGGGCUCAACCCAGGAACUGCGUCCGAUACUGGUUGGCUUGAAUCCGGGAGAGGGAUGUGGAAUUCCAGGUGUAGCGGUGAAAUGCGCAGAUAUCAGGAAGAACACCAAUGGCGAAGGCAGCUCUCUGGGACGGUACUGACGCUGAGACGCGAAAGCGUGGGGAGCGAACAGG
rnacentral:rRNA from 1 species